rnacentral:misc_RNA from 1 species
UGAAACAGCGGUAGAAUUUUGGACAAUGGAAACCCUGAUCCGGCCAUCCACGUGUGCGAUGAAAGGCCUUCGGGUUGUAAAGCACUUUGGCAGGAAAAAAACGGCGCAGGAUAAUGCCCAUUGCAACUGACAACCUGCAGAAUAAGCACCGGCUAACUACGCUGGCGCAGCCGCGGUAAUACGUAGGGUGCAAGCGUUAAUCGGAAUUACUGGGCGUAAAGCGUGCGCAGGCGGUUCGGAAAAGAAAGAUGUGAAAUCCCAGGGCUUAACUUUGGAACUGCAUUUUUAACUACCGAGCUAAGUGUGUCAGAGGGGAAAGUGGAAAUUCCGCAUUGUAGCAGUGAGGAAAUGCGUGAAUAUGUGGAGGAACACCGAUGGCAGAAGCAACCUCUGGGAUAACACUGACGCUCAUGCACGAAAAUCGUGGGGAGCAAACGGGAUUAGAUACUCUAUAGU